rnacentral:lncRNA from 1 species
CUUCUCAUAAAAAAUUCUUACAUAUUUUUGGUUAGAUGUCAGUUCUCAGUUUUAAUCUGCUACUUUUUAUUUCUUACCCUCAUCUUACCCAUUAUCCAUCCAUCCAUCCACCCACUGAAGUGAUAUUUAUGCAUUUAGUUCGUACUGCUACCAGUGUGGUUGGAGUAUUUACUGAAUGCCUACUGAUGCAUAUCUGACAAAACACACAGGAUGUCUACUCUCAUGGACCACUUACUCUAGUGGGGUAGUAGAACACACAGGUGCAGCCCUUGUACAGAACAAUGGAAAUGGCAUGGAGACAAUUGCUACCAGUUCUAUAAAGACAGCAAAAGUUGGGAGGACUGUAAAUAUUUCUGCCUUAGUGAAAACUCUACCAUGCUGAAGAUAAACAAACAAGAAGACCUGGAAUUUGCCGCGUCUCAGAGCUACUCUGAGUUUUUCUACUCUUAUUGGACAGGGCUUUUGCGCCCUGACAGUGGCAAGGCCUGGCUGUG